rnacentral:rRNA from 1 species
UACAGAGGGUGCAAGCGUUAAUCGGAAUUACUGGGCGUAAAGGGUGUGUAGGUGGUUAGGUAAGUUAGAUGUGAAAUCCCCGGGCUUAACCUGGGAACUGCGUUUAAAACUGUUUAGCUAGAGUAUUGCAGAGGAUAGUGGAAUUUCCAGUGUAGCGGUGAAAUGCGUAGAUAUUGGAAGGAACACCAGUGGCGAAGGCGACUAUCUGGGCAGAUACUGACACUGAGACACGAAAGCAUGGGGAGCAAACAGG